AGUGAACGCUGGCGGUAGGCCUAACACAUGCAAGUCGAACGGCAGCACAGUAAGAGCUUGCUCUUACGGGUGGCGAGUGGCGGACGGGUGAGGAAUACAUCGGAAUCUACUUUUUCGUGGGGGAUAACGUAGGGAAACUUACGCUAAUACCGCAUACGACCUACGGGUGAAAGCAGGGGAUCUUCGGACCUUGCGCGAUUGAUUGAGCCGAUGUCGGAUUAGCUAGUUGGCGGGGUAAAGGCCCACCAAGGCGACGAUCCGUAGCUGGUCUGAGAGGAUGAUCGGCCACACUGGAGCUGAGACACGGUCCAGACUCCUACGGGAGGCAGCAGUGGGGAAUAUUGGACAAUGGGCGCAAGCCUGAUCCAGCCAUACAGCGUGGGUGAAGAAGGCCUUCGGGUGGUAAAGCCAUUUUGUUGGGAAAGAAAAGCAGCAGGUUAAUACCCCGCUGUUCGGACGGUACCCAAAGAAUAAGCACCGGCUAACUUCGU
rnacentral:rRNA from 1 species